AAACACCAGUACCAGCACAUUCUCUUUUAGCAUUAGAGCCACUGAGAAAAACAGCUCUCUUGCCUGAACCAUACUGUGAUUGCUGAUGGUCUUGGUGUGGGUGCUGAUUUGAUCGCACUUGAAGAGGAGGCCAAGCAGACUGAGGAAGACCCAGAGGACGCAUACAUCUCUCAUUUUCAUAGCCCAUAAUGCGAAUGCUUCUCCCUGUCUUCUGGAUUUGGUACUGUUGCUGGUGCUGAUGCUCAUCUUGCCAGCCUUCCUUCACUUGCUGCCUUCCCCAAACUGCGGGGCACAAGGGCUUUGGCACUUGUUCUUGCUUCAAUUGAUACUGAUUCAACCCCCAAAUACUGUGACCAAAACUAUGGCUCGACAAAAACCCAGUACUCCUAUUUUCCCCUACAGUUUCUGGAUUUUGGCCCCUUGCAGGACCCAGC
rnacentral:misc_RNA from 1 species